CGGAUCCAAGUAGUUCUCCGCCUGAUUCAGUUUGGAUGCUUAAGUCCUAAUAAUUAAAUUAGUAAAGUACACAAAGAAAAGGUCCAAAAACACGAGAUUAUUGCGUGUGCCUUUGAAUGUAUCAUGGUUGUAUCAUGGCAUAGCAAGUUUAAAUCAGCUUAAUGCACACGUAGAAGUUAACAAUUAAUUUAACUUUUAGGGUCAAUCUCAUACAUGACACCUCAUAGGAUAGCAACAACAACAACAACUACAACAACCUAAAAACACUGAUCACCUACCACAAAUCUGCAAGAUCAGCUCAUCGACAAAAUUAUUGAGAUAGGAGACAUCAUUUGUCACGAAAUAAACAUUUGGCAUCACGGAUGCCUUACAAGUCUCUAAGCAUGUUAUUGAUGAGUCAAUGAUAUUAAUCCCGCUACAAUAAAUGAUUGAUCAACUUUCUUGAUGAUGAGUAUCAACUGUCAUGGUCAGCAUAAAAGUGAAUCAACCACUAAGGGACACAGGUCCAAUACCAACUCAACAACAUUUGGAUGGAUCUUUCUGAGCCUACAUUUGAUUCGAAUAUAAGUAAAAAUUAUUUAUUCCAGAAAUAGAUACAAGCUCAGAUAUACACAAGAAGAAUUAGAUUAAUUUUACGUUUAGAAAAAAAAAUUAGAUUAUUCCUAAAAAUACAGUAAAUAAUAUUUAGAUGGUUAGAUUAAAACGGAAGGAAUAAGAGUUAUAAUUUUAAAUUAAAAAUAUCUUAUCUAAUUUAAUUAACAUCAAAAUCAAAAUAUUAGUUAAAAAUAAUUUAAUAAAAUAAUAAAUUUAUUAGCUAUGAAUAUUGUAUAAAAUAAUAAAAAUAUAUUAAUUAAUUAUAAAAAAUAAUUUGACUUUUUAAUUAAUUAGUAAAUUAUUUAAUUAGAUAACUAAUAAAAAAAUUUAAUUAGAUUAAUAAAAAUACUAAUGGUUGAUCAAUAUAAAUAUUAGUUUAUGAAUAAACACAUAAAAUUAUUAAUAAUUAAUUAUAAGUAAUAAAUUAAUUAAUUAUUUUAUUAUUUAAACAAUGAAUGAUAAUUUUCAUUUAAUAUCAUAAUUAAAAUUAAAUUUAGACUUCAAUUACCCUAGUUCCUACUUGGAAACAAGCUUAAUGCCAAGUCAAGGGUGAGGACUGUGAUACCCAACUAGACACCUUUUUCGAUACAAGGAUCAAGAAUGAAUGAGACAGAUUUUGCGAUUGCGAUAUUCGAAGAAGAAAAGGUGAACCGAAAACUCCAAAUUUAUAUCGAAUCAUACCAGCUUAUUUCAAAAACCUAAAAACUACUAAUUUUUGGGUGCGAAUAGAGGAACUCCCAGACCAAACGCUACCUGAAGUAUAGGAAGGCUCCAGAGCAGUACUGUAUUAUGAAUUGGACUGACAGCCUAAUCAGUGACACCUGUUAAUUAGAGGGAUCGAUCAUGGAUCUACCAAAUGCUGCCUGACGUAUAGGAAGGCUCUAGAGCAGUACUAUAUUAUGAAAUGGACUAAUAGCCAAUUAGUGACACCUGUUAGGGGGAUCGUUCAUGGAUCUACCAACUCGUAAAGACUCCGACGCAACUUCUUGGAACGCUCCAAGAGAUUAACACCAAGCAAGCGAAUAAAUGAAUAAAUGAAAUGCACCACUCCCAGCUUCGGAAGCAACUCGACGACUCAAAUCUCAAGGGACACACGAUAUGUUUCUUUUUCCCAUUGAUAUUUUGCUUCUUUGUUCACAUACAACUUAAAAAUAAAUAAAUCCAUAAAUAAUAAGCUUGUAAACUAAGCCAUCGACGACAAAAAUAAUUUCACUCUUUAAAUCCGAGGGUGUUUUAAUCUUAACUAGCUGAAAGAAGAACAGAAAAAGAAACAUAUCAAAAAAAGACACAAACAACACCAAGCUGGCCCUAAGUUUGCAUGGAAAGAUUAUAGCCUACGCUAAGAAAAAGGAGAGAGAAAAAUCCAAUCGGACAGACAUUUAACAAGAGAAGAUAUUGAGAAAAAAUAAAAAGGAAAAAGAAAAUGCUAGAGGAUUACUCUGAUACACAUCAAACGGCAGUUAACAUCUCUUAUUAUCAUCAAACUAAUUAGACCAGGAACUGCCACAAGAGAAGGCUUUUGCUUCUGCCAACCUGGGCAGCCAGGGCCAAAUUACUCCCCGAAUUUAGCCGUCUCCUCUCACUCAGACAAAUGCUCAACUGGGCCUUUUAAUUAGGUCCUUAAUAUAGUAAACAUUCUACUGUACAACUAGAAGCUGUUUUCAAUUCAGUAAAAUCCAUGCCAAAUAGAGGGGGAGGGGGAAUAGGGGCAGACCUGGCUAAAAAGAAGCAGGCCAUUCCUCACUAACCGCACGGCGAAGGGUGUUUGCAUUGGUGAACUAAUUAUGAGUAAGGAUAAUAGGAAGGAUAGCUUAUGGGGACAUCGCAUCGCCUGAUGAAACCAUGUGAGUGUCUGCGUCCCCUUCAGAAGAUCUCCGAGAAGAGUCCAAUGCCGAGUCCGCUGGUGUUGCAAGGAAGAAAACAAUUAAAUUGAGAAGAGACACUCAAAACUAUGAGAGAUGGAACGAGAGGUUUGCGACGAAGCACGGCCACUUUGGCCCAGAUGGAGCUCCUGAAGAAGAGCCGAUGAACAAAGAUUUUUAAAAAAAAACACAUCAACAACUUUUUUGUCGAUAUGAGCCCCUACAGCUCUCACUAACAAAAAGGCAAUAGCUUUAAAUUGAAACUUUUACUUUUAGAAUUCAAAAGCUUAUUGCAGCUUCCCAUCAGUAGAAGCUCAAACUUUCAGCUUGCCAAAAUGCCUAACAGAUGUUUUUUUGAAGUACAGAAACUGUUUAAGCAGCCAGGCCAUGUAAGUACACAGUUAAGUAAUGAUUAUACUGUGGUAUCUCUAUUUUCUAAGGCCUAGCUUGGUAAUGCUUCCUCCAGGCACAACUGCUUUCAUAAAUUAGAGCCUCCCAAAACUCCAAAGUGCUUUAGAGCUGAGCUCCUCUGAUGCUAAAAAAUGCUGGUGAAGUAGAAACUUGUCCAAUGGACAUUUCUGCCACCAUUUUUUAGCAUCGAAGGAGCGGAGCUCCAACAUGCUCUGGCAGUUUGCAGGGGUUCUAAAGCACAAUAACAGUUAUGUUUGGAGAACAACUUGCCAAAAUAUGCUUUUACUGGAUGUUAUAAGUGAUGUUAUUACUAAUACACCUAUAAGUCUACUCUGGGCUUGCAAGAGAUCAUUCAAUGAAAUAAGCUAGAAAGGUCUCAAGGUUAAUGUAAAAUUGUAGAGCAGUGUACCAUUAAAAAUACACAAUAAAAAGACCCCUUGAAUACAUUACCGAAUAUGGAAUCAAUUGAAGGCCGCCUUGGUGAUGCGCUUCUUUUCAUAUCUGCAUGUUUACAUUAAUGAAGAAUUAAGUGCUGACAAACUUAACUGCAAUAUAAUUAUAUCAGACAAAAAAUUUUGACAAUGAAAAGGAAUAAACAGAAUUCCAACAAAGUAAUAAUAAGAGUGUGGUAAAAAAAUGUUAAAUGAAACAACUACAGUAUGUAAACUUUUAAACGAGAAAAUUAGAAGAAUUCCAAAUUUAAAAUCAAGGGACUCCGAAACUUCAAUCAUUUUUUCAUCCAUUCAGUAUGCAAAUAAUAUUUCAAAUACAACAGCAGAAAGCAGCAGCUGAAUAAACUGAAAAAUGUGUUGACUUGGAGUAAGUUGGCAUAUUCCUCUGGACAAACUAAUAUAAAGAGUUUCGAAAUGAUCCUCCCAUAGAUAAGGUGCAUACCAAAUGACUGAUGCCGGCCUUUAAUGGCAUCGAAGUUCUUGUAUGUGUAUCCGACAAAGCUUAGAUCUUUUGCAUUUAGCAACAUCUGCUCACAACGUUUCAGAAUAAUUAAUGAGAGGCCUGAUCAUAUUCGAACUAAGAUCCUACUGAACAAUAGGAACAUGGGUGCAAAACAGUUGAUUAGGUGAACAUAUAUUUUAAAAUAAUAACCUUAGAUGCUUUACAAGAAAAUCAGUUGCAUACCUUCCUUGAUGGUCCAGAACCAGUCCUUACUGGAGGAUCCAACUGGGGCAAAAUGAAAAAGAAAAUUUAAUAUUAGUAACAGUUACAAAAAUCUACAGUAACCAAAACUAAAAUAAAUGAUUAAGCUUAAGGAGAGUAGAACAGCAAUUUAGCAGGUUAAACUAUCCUCCCAGCUCCUAUAAGUGAAAUAAUAGAGAAUAGAUCAGAUAAAAAUUAGCAUGUUGAGGUGCUUCUAGAUGAGAAAUACCAAAAUGCAUAAACUCCCAAGUGCAAAAUACUGAAGACUUGAAAAGUUUAAGCAUGUUGGGAUGAACUGCAGAGGCAGAUCCAAUGAAAUCUGGAUUUACUUCCACAAGGAUCACUGAAACAACAUAAUUGCCGUAAACCUACUUCAAAAGUACAUACAGAACUGUAUAACAUCUGUAUACUGAAAGAAUUUAACUUGCUAACAAAUAGUAGUAAACUAGAAUUUAAAAUCACUAUCACCAUACUUCAUCAAACUUUUGGAAAUUCUGUGUAUCCAGUUCAUCAUUAACUUGGGGCUUAAAUGCAGCGUCCAUUUCAUAAAGCUUAUCCCACUGAACAUCCUUGAACCAAGGAUGGGCCUGAGAAAAGAGAACCAAAAUUAAUUACAAAGUAAACUACAAGAAAAUAAAGGAAAAACAAAGAUUACUUCAUGCUUAUAAAAAUACCUUUAUUUGAUCUGCCCCUCCACUGCCAAUUCUGUGUUCGACGUCACAUAAUAAUCUGCAAAUAAGAUCCUUUGCCUCUGGGGACAAUCUUGACUCUUCAGGAAAUUUCAAGUGGUUUCUCCAGUGCACAAUCUAAAGCCAUUGGUCAACCAACAAUAAGAUGGCAUAAAAGUAUUCUCAAUUUAAAGUAAAUGAAAACAGAAUGUCUAAGAAGCAUAGCCUUAGAUUGCAAGAAGUAUACAUUAUCCACUGAUACAAUCACGACCAUGACAAUAAAUAGGUAAAUUAGUAGUAUAGACAGUUAGACGCCGCCUGAGAUACAAUGCAAAAACUGUAUGUAAACUAUGAAAGUUUCAAUUUACUACCAAUCAAUAUUUUUUCAAUUUCAGUGCCUCUCUGUUUAACUCUGUCAGAGCUUCACAACGGUUUCAGUGAGAGAGAGAGAGAGAGAGAGAGAGAGAGAGAGAGAGAGAGAGUAUUCCGUCAACUGACAGAAUAUUUUGUUAGCUUACUGAAUAUUCCAUAAUAAAGUUACAAUUACCGUCAAAUCUUUUGAUGAAGAAUCAAUGAAGUCAAAAAUAAUGAAAGGCUGGUUCUGAAAUUGAAACUUUUUACAGGUCAGGUAUCGAUUUCAAAAGUGUGAGAGAGUGCAGAAAGUGUUUACAUGUUAUUACCUCAUAAGAUGCUAGUUUUAACCUUCUGACAAAAAGAAAAAGAUAAUGGUUUUAAAGUAUGAUAACCACCUAAUAUACUACAAAGGCUGGAUUUCUCACAAUUGUGUGUAAUUAUGUUAAAUAUGUUUUGAUGUAUAUAGAAAGGCAAAUGAGGAUAAGGCAUGUGACAGACUGACCUUUCGGCAUGUGGUAAUGGGAUCAUCAGAGUAAAAUGGUGGAUAACCAACAAGCAUUUCAUACAUAAUUGCACCCAAAGACCACCUGCAAGUGGACAAUAAGACUUCAUAGGCACUGGGUAAAACCUUAAACAAAAGGGUCUAGCCAGAAUGAAUAUUUUAAAAGGUGAAAUGUAGAUGCAGACCCUCUUAACCAUACGCUACUUUAAAAUAGGCCUGUCAUUUUUUUAACCCUCCUUUUCAGAUUGACACUCCUCACCUUUGUUCUGAUUUCAGUCAUUUCUAUCAGUUUGAGUUGGGGCUUCCUUAAAAUCAACUGCUCAAUUAUCAAUUGUCAUCGGAACCCUCAGUUCUGCCAACUGAGAGGCAGAUAGACCCAUUCAAUUAAAAAAAAUCACCAUUAAUUUAAUGGAAUCAUCAAUUUAACUGACAGAAGUAACUUAAAUCAAAACGAGAAAAAGUUAGGAGGAUGUCAAUCAAAAUAAAGUUCAGCGACCUACUUCAUAAAAGCCCUAUAAUUUAAGGGUCUGCAUACCCUUUUACCUUUCUGAAAUUACAAAAAAACAACAUUAACCAUAAUGGAUGAAACUGCUCAUCUAAGUAUAAGCUCACAAACCAAUCACACUCCAUGCCAUAUCCUUUCUUCAGUAAUACUUCUGGAGCAAUAUAGUCUGGUGUACCCACAGUAGAGAAUGCCUAAAGGGACGAUUCAAAAACUGUUAACCGAGAUUUGACUUACAGGAAAUAAUUCUAAGAGCAAUAGCAUAGUAAAAGAGGGUACAACAAACUACUACGUAGGAGAGAGCAGGGUGUACAAGAAUAUACCAGCUUUCUCCUGUUUAUCUGCCAGUGCUGAAGCUGUUCGUGGGGGCUCUUCCACCUACUAUUAUUCGUAUCUGAAAAGCCACCAUCAAUGUCCAUAGACUCCCUAAGGUUUUCAUCAGUAAUGGGUUCAUCUUCAUUCAAGGUUGAGAGUCUUGAAAAAUCAAUUGGUUUGCAUAAACCAAAGUCUGAGAGCUUCAUGUAACCAUUUUUGUCCAAUAACAGAUUGUCAGGCUUAAUAUCUCUGCAUAUAGAGACAAACUAAAUGGAGAUCAUAUGAAUAGAAAAGCACAUCUGUAGAUACCUUAGUAUUUUUAUGUAGAUGUUUCAAUUUUAAGAAGGUCCCACAUUUACAUCCUCUAUUAUAGAUCAACAAGCUUUAAGUCUUUCUUUCAAAUAAAAGAAUGUGUUGAAUUUCUUUACAAGAAGUUAAAAAUGUUAUGCUAGUAGUCUAAACUUUUGUUUAUUUACUAGAGUUAGCAUAGACUGCAAGCAGUGAGAUACAGCUGUAAUAACAUGAAAUGUACAUGGAAUUUAAAAAAGAAAUGGGACUCAAGUUGAAACUAUCAAUGUAGUAUUCUUAUAAUCCACUCUAAUAUUUCAGCAGGGACUUCCAUGAAACAAAAGCCAAAGCUAAGGGACUAAUACGAAAAUAUAAAAAUAUAGGGACAUAAAAUUAAAAUUUCCAGGAAAGUCAGAGACCUUGCAUAUAAAUUACCUAAACAAUAAAAAACAGAGUAGAAAUUCAGCAGCCACUGGGAAUCACUAACCUGUGAAUGUAGUUAUGCUUAUGAAUGGAUUCUAUGGCUAGCACACUCUGGGCAAUGUAAAAUCUAGCAACGUUUUCAGUUAAUGUGUCUUCUCUCAUGAGAAGGGUCAUCAUAUCACCUCCAGGAAGAUAUUCCAUGAUCAAGUAAAGGAACUCUGCAUCUUGGAAUGAAUAGUAUAAUUUCACAAUGCAAUGACUAGCAACUUCAGCAAGCAAAUUCCUUUCAGCUCUAACAUGUUCCACCUAGGAAAAAAGGAGAAAGAAGAAAAUUAUGACAACAAUGAGAAACAAAUAAAGACCAGGUUGGGCAAAUAUCAAAUGGUUGCAACAUUGAACUAAUAACAUGCAAAAUUAGAUCAAAUGGAAUUUUGUGCAGGUAAGGACCAGGUUGAAACGGUUGUUCAACCAAAUCGUAUAUAUGAGAAUAUGAUGGAAUAUUAUUAGAUAGAAAGGACAACUGGUAAAAUUAUACAACUUAACAACUUAGCCACAUAAAAUAGUAAAAUGUGCAAUAAUGGCAUCAAGGCUGCGCUCCAAUUUUAAGGACAAACAUCAAUGUGCACAUCAGAUAUGCUUUGGUCGGUACUAAGCAACUAGAAAUCCAAGAUCACCAAUGAAAACCUUCCCUCAGACUGUUAUUUUCACACAAACAUGUUACUCAAAACUUAAAUGGGAACAUACAAUUAUAACUUAAUUAUUAACCAAAUGAUAAACGAAUAGAAGUCAAAGGCUUUCUAAGAAGGAUAGGCUUUCUAAAAAUGAUAUAUCGUAUUCACAUAUCUUACCUGACCCCUGCUAACCAUCUCUGAUUUCUUCAACUUUUUCAUAGCAUAAAUAUUGCCAGAGGAUUUCUCCCGGCAUAGUCUGACCUGUAGCAUGAGAAAGGUAAGCUUGCAGGAAACAACAGCACUGACUUGAACUAUCAUGUACUUUAAAUAUGUAAAUAACAUAUACAGGUAUUCCUGAUGUUGCCUACAAACUCAAUAAAGCAACAAACAAUGGUUCAAAACUGCUUUUUGUUUUUACUUUUAUCUUGCCAGGACAAUUAAGUAAAUUUCUACAAAUGUCGUUCUAGUAUAUAAGAUCACCUAAAAGACAUGUACUAACAUUACUAUAUACAUGUAGUAGGGAAUUUCAAUAGAUGAGAUGGUUUGGACAUGUCCAACAGAGAACACAUAGUUUGCCAGUACAGAGUGAUUUCAUUCAACUUUGAAGUGCCUCGAAAACAAAAAUAACUAGAGAGGAAGCAGUAAAAGAAAGAUAUGACAGCACCAAGUUGACAAGGAACAGAAUAGGACGGAGCAAAUGUGAGCCAUUUAGCCAAGCCAAAAUAGCGGGGAGCUUCAAUCAGACAAACAAGAAACAAUAAUAGAUAACUCUGGUGCAGCAAUACCAAAAGUAAUUCACCUAAGUAUCAUAGUAUAGCCACUUUCCAAAAUUAUUAUGAAAGUUUUAGCUGGAGAAACACUUCGCAGGAAUAAAGAAGAAAAAACUACCAAUACUUUUAGUUCGCACAUAAACAAAACCGAAUGAAAUAGUAAUUCUUAAAAUAUUUGCCGCUAUUAAACUUGCAAAGAAUGCAACAGCAGACCUCCCCAAAAGCACCUCUUCCAAUAAUGGUGAGUAGCUCAAAGUCGUCUACGCAGAUUUUGUGCCUUUUAAGUCGCAUAAACUCUGUUUCCUUCCUCUCUAAAUCCUUUAUUAUAUUAAUUUGCUCCUCCUUGGGAACUUGGGAAGAGGCUAAUUGUCUCUCCAAAAACCAACGUCUGCAACAAGUAUAGAUUUCAAAUGAAUUUUAAAGUUUUCAGAAAAUAAGAUAAACAGACCUCCAUAAAAAAGGCGAAUAAUUGUAAAUGAGUAUCUAAGUUAAAAGAAGAAAAAGUCUGUUAGUCAGGAUAUAAAAAUCAAUGAUAAAUAUAUUUGAAAAAAAGGGGAAAAAGCAGGUGUUUAAUGUAAAACUAGCCACUUCAAGUAAAUAUGUGGUAUCUGUACUUUUCAUAUUCAAACUUGUUCAUAAAUUGAUAUGUGGAAGUGUACAAAUAUGGAUCUGACAGAAAGAUGACUAAUCCAAAGAACCAGAAAUUCUAAAGCAGAACAAGGCCAAGAUACAUCGUCAUGUGGCCUUUUAGGUGCAAGUGUGUAAGAGUUCCUUUAAAAAAGUAGCACAAAAAAGUACAUUCAGAAAGGGAAGAUCUUCAUUUAUUGCCAAAAGGUACAUUGCCAGCAAGAAUACAGGUGUACUGAGCAUUGUAAAUUAUGGACUAGUUGUCUUGCCCAAUCAACUUCGCCUCAAAAUAUGACUCUAAUGGCUAUAUCAUUCCAAAUCUGCUUCUUUACUCUCAUUCAUGUUGAAUAUAAAUAUUAAAAACAACCGUUGUUCUCCAAAAGCUUAAGCUACCUAAGAAUGGCGUUCCAUAUAAAUAUUAAAAAAAUUCAUCCAUGCUGAUGUCUACAAUCCCCAAAUCAUUCCGCUCAAAUAAACUGAAAUCUCCUUUUGCAAACUGAAGUUUAAUUAACGAAAAAUGUCUUCAAAGCUUAAAAUGUAUUAGAACCUACCAUUUAGUGAUAUAAUCCUGCCAGAUACAAGAGCACAUCUCCAACACUUAUGGCAUGGCCAUAAGAUUCCAAGUGUUGCCUAACCACUUAUCUCCAAGAGUUAACUAACCUACUAUUUACUAAGAUUGUAGCUUCCUUCAAAAGAUAAAGUACUUCACCUCAAUCACAUUCUAUUAUCACAAAGCUUCUUUUCUGUAUCCAAAAACCAUAGCUCAUUAAUGCUUUGUACUACCACAAUUUUGACAUCGAUUAGAAUCACACAAAAUUUCUAGCAAUGAAAUUUCACUUGUUAUGUAUAAUGUAUAGCUCAAGAUCUAUAUGUUAUGCCAUCAAUCCUUCAACUUGCUGCACUCAAACAGUAACAAGCAUUUAUAGGAGACUAGAGCUUUCCCGUCAUGAUAAGAGACAUGGAACAACAACAAGAGCAGAGAGACAAAAAAAAGAGAGGGUGGGAGACGUGUGUCAUAAACAAACAACUCUAGAAAUAACAACAGUGAUCAGUUCUUUACUCCCGUAGUACCUCAAAUCCAUGACAAGUUUAACACAGCUCCUUCAAAUAGUGGAGAUCGGUAGAUUAUCUCCAAAAAUAACCAGCACCAACUAAACAUAGACCCAGUUUUAUUAUACUGAACAAUAGGUGUGAAUGUUUUCUGUUAGACCAAUCUAUUUCAAGCUCCGCCUACUUCCCUUUUAGCUUUCUUCUCACUUUCCUCUUAUCGCACAUACACAAGUUAUGCAUAUUCUACAGUUCGUUAUGCUGCAAAAAGCUCACAAAACUGUAUCUAAAGCAGAAGCAUGAGCAAAAAGACACCCUCUACUCAUCAAAUCCAUCAAAACCUAGAGCAUAAUCUCCGCAAUCGACCAAGAAUCACCACGAGACUCACAUUUUGAAUACUAAACCAGAUUACAAGACCCGAAUUAGCUAUCCGGAGCUCCAUUGAGCAUUACAACACGAAGAAACCCUUAGACACUGAGAAACUCACAGAGCUAGCUGAAGAGAUCGAUUAAUAGCAAGAUUUGCCCUCAAAUCCCCCCCGAUCGGGAAAUAAAAUCGAAACUGGCGAAGAUCUGAGGCUAAACCCUCGGAUCGAGCAAGAACAAGCGAUCUAAGCACAGAGAGGGGGCAUCAAAUCGAAUGGGGAGAGGGGGAGAAGAGCUUCACCUCUCCUUCCGCUCCUGGAUGUUCUUCAUCUGCGCCCUGUAGUGGUUCUCGAUGAACUGCUUCGCGGCGGCGACACGCUCCAUUGUGAGGCUCGACCCCACCUUCUCCUCCGCCGCCGCCGCCGCCGCCGCCGCCUCCUCCGCCACCGUCUCGAGCCGCUCCCGCGCCCCGUUCUCCCUCUCCUCCGCCGCAUCCUCCAUCUCGCUCUCCAUCUCCCUCCUCUCUCUCUCUCCCCCCCUCUCUCUCGCUCUCUCCCCGAGAGCUGGUUCCUCUCCUCCCCCCUCCUCUCUCCUCUGUCUAUCUAUUAUUUAUAUUUUGAUGCGUUAAUUUUUUAUUUUUUAAAUUUUAAAUAUUAAUUUUUUAAUUUUAAUUUUAAUUUUAAUUUUAAUUCGUUAAAGCACUAGCGUACAAAUGUAUGUGUAUACGACGAGGUCAGAAUACAGCUAGUACAGCAGAUGAGAUUAUAUAACCACCUCUCUCUCUCUCUCUCUCUUUCCGUAUAUUCCUACAUCCCACUAAAGUACUAUACUUUCCCGUAUAUACCAUUUUAAAAGUAUUUAUGUAUUUCAGCUUUAAUAACACACGGUAAACAACACCAAAUCUUUAAGGGUACAUGGACUUUAAUACAACAUUUUCAUUUUAUUAUCUAGUCCUUUCUUUUUUAAUCUUUGUUUUAAAAAAGAAAUUGUCAAAUUUAGGAGUUAUAUAUAUAUAUAUAUAUAUAUAUAUAUAUAGAUAUAUAUUAUAUAUAUAUAAGUAUAUUAUAUAUAUAGUAUAUAUUAUAGUUGAGCUAGAAUUACCUAAUCGUAGAAACGAUCGUCGUUUUACUACCUGAUUUGUUUUCGAUGAUAGAGCUUCAAAUGACGAUCGGUCGUUAAUAUGACUAAACAUUUAAACUAAGCCUAGAAAUCAAAUUUCACGCACUUUUCGAUAUGAUUUUUUUAUCCAUCAAGUGAACAGAAAAAUAAAUGGUGAAAAUACAAUACUCUUUAAAAAUGAUGAUAGGAGUCUUGCUAAUUAAGACCAAAAUAUAUAUGCUUGUUUAAAUAGUUAAAGAAUUUUCUAACAAAGUUGAAUAUUAUUUGGAUAUCUUUUUACGCCGCGUUAAACGAGAAAAUGCCUCUUAUUUGACCAUAUAACAUUACAAAUUUUGAAACCCUUCGAUUCAUAUAGGCCAAAUUUUGAUGUUCAUUAAUUGAUUUGAAAUUUGAUUUCUAAACACUUCAAAGCUGUAUAGAAUAUGUCAACGGAGGCGAUCGUCAUUGGAAGUUUUAUCAUCGAAAACAGAUCGGUAGUAAAUAGCAUCGUUUACUACGAUAGUAUUUAACUCAAUCUAUAUAGUAUAUAUAUAUAUAUAUAUUAAGAGGGUCUUGCUGUGCUCUCAGGAGCCGAGGCCUCCGUGCUCCCUGUAGGCGUUUUUCGAUGAUGGAGCUUUCCCGAAUUCGACGAUCGCGCUCCGCUUAAACUUUGAUCUAGCAUAUUUGAAGUUUUUAGAAAAUAAUUUUGGCGAUUUUUCGAUAUUCAUUUACCUUAGGCAAUCCGAAAUAAUUCAAAAUCAAUAAUUUUUAAACGCUGAAAAUAAAAUCUAUAAAAGUGGUGACUAAUAAACUAAAAUGUUCGAUCUAGAAAUAUUGAUCUUGUCUGUAAAUAGAUGAUAAGAAUUUUGUAAUCAAAAUUUCAUGUCUGAUUUGAAUAUCUCUACACCGUUUAACGAAAACGGCAUUAGAUACUCAACCAUUCAAAAAUUUAUGGAUGUUAGAAUGACUUUCGAUCACUAGGUAAAUGAUUCAAAAAAUCGCAAAAAUUAUUUUCUAUGAAACUUACGAUGGCUAGAUGCAAUCUAACGCGAGCCGAUCGAUCGAUUCGAUCUUUAUCAUCGAAACGGUGCAGGGAGCAUCAAGGCUCGUGCUCUGAGAGCACAAACAGCUUGCUGCUAUAUAUAUAGUAAUAGACUAUAUAUAUAUAUAUAUAUAUUACUAUAUAUAAUAUCAUAUAUAUAUAUAUAGAGUCAGCUGGCUAUCUAUCGGUAAGCACUGGGCCGUCCCGUGUCAAGUUGUUUUUCGGAUGAUGCGGGCUUCCAAAUGACGAAAUUUUCGACUACGUUAACUUGAUCUACACUUAAAAGUUAUUUGAAAACUAAAUUUCAUUAAAUUUUUCGAAUCAUUUGACUAGUGAUCAAAGCAUUCAAAAUUGACCAUUUUAAUGGUCCGACUGUGGGUGUUGUUGAGUUAACGGUAUAAAAAAUCCAAAUCUGAUGAAAAUUUUAUUAGAAAUUCUUUCUACUAUUUAGAGUAGAUCAGCUAUAAUCUGAUCUUGAUUAAAUUUUUUUAUUAUCAUUUUUUAUGAGAUUUUUUUUCAGGACCGUUCAAUUUUAGCAACUACGUGUUCGAUAGGUAAAUGAUAUCGAAAAUAUGAAAUUUGGUUUCCAAUAUUUUAACUUAAUGAGAUCAAGUCUAACGGAGCCGGAUCGUCGAUUUGAAGCCGCCAUCAUCAAACUGGUGCACGCAGAGGCCCGUGCUACGAUGAGGGGCCUCAAUGCAGGCUGGACUCUUUUUAUAUAUAUAUAAUAUAUAAUAAUAUAAUAUAUAUAUAUAGUAUAUAUAGGAGCCGGCUGAAAGCAGCCGUAUAUAUAUAUAUAAAUAUUACGGAGGCCUCCGUGCUCCUGAGAGCACAGCAGCCCUGCUCUAUAUAUAUAUAUAUAUAUAUAUAUGUAUGUAUGUAUGUAUGUAUGUAUGUAAAUUUUGAUUUAGCUAAAAAUGUACCACUUUAUAUGAAGGUCUUAAACUAUAAUGUAUUUUGUAAAAGACAUCUGAACAUUAUGAAUUUUAACUUUAUUAUUUAAUGCUUAAUAUUUUCUUUAUUUCGAAGUAAAAUUCAUCAAGAUCAACCUGAUUUGAGUAUAAACUAAAAGUUUUCGAGCAAGUUUAGAUACUUAUUCUCUUUAAGCAUUUGAAGAUAAACGGUCUUAACUUGUUAAAUUUAUCUAAAAUUUUAUUCUGUUGAUAAAUAACCCAAUAUUUUUAAUGAUUUUAGAUUUAUUUUCGUCAAAUUUAUUUUUUAAUAUUUUGUUGGUUAGACAUAAGAUAUGAGUUUAAAUAUUGUUCAAUUAUUGCUAUUAGGAUUUUGAUUUAUACCUAUAUAUAGGCUGUUGUAAAUGUGUAAAAAAUUAUCCACUAUCGAAAUUUAAUCCAAAAAUAUUUAAUAAAGUUUUUAGUUUAAUUCAUUGCAAUACUCCUUUUGUUCUUUACAAAUAUAUAUAUUGAAAAUAAUAAUUCUUAGACUUUAAAUUUGUUGGCUUGUAAUUAAACUUAGUAUCACUCUAUGUGGCAACAAAAGAAAGGAGAAAUUUCAAUCAACAUGUUUUAAUGAAACUAUUAAUUGGUUAAUAAAUAGAAUUAUCAAGUGCCAGGGUAAUAUAGUUCUCAAAAACAUGAAAAUUUUUGUUUUGUUAGACAUGUUCCUAUGGCAAUAAAUAGAGUAAAUAAUAAUGAUAUUUUCAUGAGAAUCCUAAUCAUUAAGGAGAAGUUCAUAUAAUUCCCUCGCAAGUUGCAAUGAGAAUGAAAUGAUGUUCCCAUAAAGCCUAUUUAGAAAAUUUUAGAAAUAAACUUCUUUAUAAAAUCUUUAGACCAUUUGAACACUUAGUAAAUAAUGUCAUAAAAUUAUGAAGUUUGAUUUUAAAUAAUUCUAAUAACGUAGAUCAUGUCUAAAGGAGUCGAUUGUCGAAUCCCAUAAUUAAAAACAACUUACAAGCAUAGAGACUUCUGUACUUUUGAAAGCACAUGAGACGUACUAUAUAUAUAUAUAUAUAAACAGCCCUUGCCUAAAGGGCUGACUCAGCAUCCAUUGGGAUAAGGAGGGAACCUCCCCCCUUAGCAACCCCCCACAGUACAUUCUCUCCGCCUCUGUGCCACCCUCACCCUCCCUUUUUGGAGUACGGGUGAGUGUGUCCAGGGGUAGGGGAAUGUCAGCUAUUCUCAGUCGGCGAAGCCUCACCUCCCCCUACCGGUGGGAAUUGGCUAACGCCAGACUGGGCUACAGGGUCUAAGGGGACUCUGCCCCCUUAGAAACCCCCAAGCUGUUCUGUCCUCUAAGGACAGAGCCCACUGUUGCUCUAGUUCACCCUAGUCUUUCUACUCUUUAGUGUCCGAAAGCCCUUCUUCGAAGACUUUCGGCUUCCUUAGAGAACUUUACUAUAAGUAAUUAGGCUUCAUACAGAUACCGGAGGUGAACUAGAGCAGAGCAAGGCCUCGCCCCUCCUUAUAUAUAUAUAUAUAUAUAUAUAGUACGUCUCAUAUGCUUUCAAAAGUACAAAAGUCUCUAUGCUUGUAAGUUGUUUUCAAUUAUGGGAUAUUCAAUUCGACAAUCGACUCCCUUAGACAUGAUCUACGUUAUUAGAAUUAUUUAAAAUCAAACUUCAUAAUUUUACGACAUUAUUUACUAAGUGUUCAAAUGGUCUAAAAAAUAAUUAUUUUAAUGACCAAUAUGAUACGUUUGUAAAUUCAACGGUGUAGAACAAUUCAAAUUACGUAAAAUUUUAAUAUAAAAUUCUACUUGAUAUCAAAGAUAAGAUCAAUACUUUCAAUUGAUAUUUGAAUCUUUUAUCACUAUUUUUUGUAAGAUUUUUAUUUUCAAUCGUUUAUUUUGAACAACAGGCAAACAAAAUCAAAAUAUUAAGAAAUUUGGUUUCUAAAUAAUUCUAAUAGUUUAAUUAUAUCUAACGAAACCGAUCGUCGAAUUGGAUAUCCUAUUAUUAAAAAUAAUUUAUAAAUAUAAAAAUCAUUAUAUAUAUAUAUAGAGUACGUCUCCUUUGUUUUCAAAAGUACAGAGGCCUCUGUGGCGCUUGUAAGUUGUUUUCGAUGAUGUGGUAUCCGAUUCAAAGAUUGACUCCAUUAGGCAUGAUUUAAACUAUUAGAAAUAUUUAAAAAUUAAAUUUCAUAAUUUUUCGACAUCAUGUACUAAGUGGUCAAAGGGUCUAAAAAAUAAUUAUUUUAAUGAUCAAUGUGACACGUUUGUAAGUUCAACGGUGUAGAAUAAUACAAAUUACAUUAAACUUUAAUAGAAAAUUCUACUUAAUAUCAAAAAUAAGAUCGAUACUUUCGAUUCGAAAUUUGAGUCUUUUAUCACUAUUUUUUAUAAAAUUUUUAUUUUCAGUCGUUUAUUUUGAGACUACUCGUUCAACCAGAAAACGAAGUCAAAAUAUUAUAAAAUUUGAUUUCUGAAUAAGUCUAAUAGCAUAAAUUAUGUCUAACGAAAUCGAUCAUCGAAUUGGAUAUCCCAUCAUUAAAAAUAAUUUAUAAGUAUGAAAAUUUUCAUACUUUUGAAAGUGUGUGAGUCUAGCUCUCUCUCGCUCUCUUUAUGUAUACUACCCCGCGCUACGCUGCGGGUUGAUAGUAUUUCAAAUAAUUUAAAUAUAUAGUUAUUAAAAUUUUAAGAUAAAAAAUUGGUAAUUAAUAAAAUAUAAAAAAGUUAUAAAAUAGUCUUGCGUACAUUAUAAAAUUCUCAGUAUUUGUAAAGUUAAAUUAUACUAAUAAUUGUAUUUAUAAUUCAAUCCAAUUUUUAGUUUGAUAGUUACUUUAUAAAUAAUUUUUUAAACUAAAAAUAUUAAAAUCGGAGGACUUAUUUCAAAUUGAAGAAUAUGUGAGGGUAUCUUUGCCUUGUUAAAAUUGAUUGGAGAAAGAGAAAGUAUCACAUGCACCUAGUGUGUAUUGAUACUCCAAACACCGCAACUUUCAUUAGAUGAUUAAUAUUCUAAUACCGAAAUUUAAUUAAAUCUAUAUGAUGUACAAAAUCUAACAUUUAAAUUAUAUUUAAUGUAUUAUUUUUAAAAUAUUUAUUAAAGGGUUUUAGGGAUAUGGUGUAUGUAUAAAUAUACACUUGAUGUAAAGAAAGUUUAAUAAGAUGCACUCAUAAUUUCAAGAGAGAUGAGAAUUUUUUGCUUGCAUCUUGUGCAUACUAAUGCUCCAUACAAUGCACAAAAUAUUAGAUGAUUGAAAAAAUAUUUGAUAAUUAAUAUUAUAAAAUAAAGUCUAAUAAUAUAAAUUAUAUUUGAUGAAUUAAUCUUAAAAUCUCGAUUUUAGAUAUGUGGUGUAUGCACAAUAUACCCUUUGUGUAAAGAAAUUUUAAUAGGAUGCAUUCAUAAUUCCAAGAGAGGAGAGUGUUUUGUUUACACCUAGUGCAUACUAAUGCUUUAUACACCGCACAAAAUAUUAGCUGACUGAUGAAAUAAUUAAUAAUUAAUAUUAUAAAAUAAAAUAUGAUAAUAUAUAUGUGUAAUAUAAAAUAUCUAAAUAAUUUAUUAUACUACAGAAAUUUAUCUUUAAUGCAUAUUUAAAGUUGGUUUAUGAUGCACCGGGCGCGUCCAAAACUAGUAUUGGAUAUGUGGCAAAUUGCUAUUGCAACGUGGCUCUGAUAGAUAUAGAUAGAUAUACAUAACUUCUGUUGUUUAAGAUCCAGGUCACUUAUAACAACUACCCAACAGCUUAAUUUCCCGGCACGAAUUUUGUUGCACCCUUUUUUUUUUGAGAAUAGGUUGCACGCGACCUGCUUCAUUCAUUGAAUGGAUGAAUUUGGCUACAAAGGUGAGGCAACGAGGGCCUCGAGGAAAAACAAUAUCAAUAUCAGCAGAGGUAUAUACAUAAGUAUAUAUAUAUAUAUAUAUAUAUAUAUACAUAUAAAACCUUAAAGCAGAUUAAAAUUAGAUUAACUAAUUUUAAUUUCUUAAUAGUCAUCUGCGCCUCUGCACCAGUGUCAUGUGGACAGGUAGAUUUAAGUGAAAAAUGUGCGAAGACCCUUCAAUUAUAGACUAUUGUAAAUCAUACCCUCAAAUUUUUUAGCAGUGCCUUUUCAACUUUCCAAUUAUUUUGAUCGAAAUGCUUUUGUUGGUCGAGUAUUUCAUUUAAAUUGAGAUUAUUUUGUGUAAAUCAUUAGUGGAUUUUUAAUAAAAAAAUUUUUGUUGAGUUGGUUGAUAAUAUUUUUUUUCAUAUUUUUUUAGUACAUAUACUAUUUUUAAUAUUUAAAAAUGUGACGACAUGAGCUCAUAAGAAAAGAUAUUGGAAUGAAUUAAAUUAUCCUCAGAUUAUAGGAAAAACUUUUAAUUUUAUUUACAAAAGAGUGUCAACCAAACCAAAUAAAAAUAGUGACCCAUUUCCGACGAGUCCAUAGUUGAGGGGCUGUAAAUGCAUUUUGAACCACAGAUUAAAUUAAUUAAUGGCCGUGCGAUGAGGAUCUGACGGCGUGUCGGGCGAAGCGCCGCCAACCUGGACGAGCGAUCGUGUCGAGGAGUUUUGCGCCGACCACACGAGCGUGCACCAUCACGAAUUUUUCCCUACACCCGGUACACCCGUACGAAUGAUGCACCGCCCUCAACAUUUGACGAUAAAUAUCUUAAAUAAAUAAAUAAAUAAAUUAUUACUGCGUACAUGUGGGUAAAAUAUAAUAAUAAACUUUAAAAUUAGAUUAUCAAGGCAUCAGUUACAGUUAGUGCCCAAAAUUAAUAUAUAACUCAAUUCCUAUAUAAAAAAAAAAAACCCUACAAAACUUAUAUGAUUUAGGAAUCAUUUUUAGUCGACUAUUUAACUAUUCAAAAUUUUAAUCUUAAUAUCGAAUCUUUCAAUUUUUUAAUUUUAGUUAGUCAACAGUAUUUUGACUUUAAAAUUUAAAUACAUUAUUUAUCUUUACAUAUUUAGUUGUCAUACUUCAAGUAAUUUUUAUUACUAUAAAUUUAUUAAAGCAAGCAACUAGUUUAAAUUUUAAAAUUAAAAUGUUGUCGACUGACUCGAUUUAAACAAAUUGGAAGGCUAUAUAGUAAAAUCGAAAUUUUGAAAGAUUAGAUAGGUAACUCAAAAUGAUCAUUUUUACUAAAAAAAUUUUAUGUAAAUAAUGCAUAACUUUUUACUAUUUAGGGUUUUUCAACACAUUCUGCAAAACAAAUAUAAAUUUUAAGAUCUCUAUUAUAAAUUUUCAAUUGUGUCAGAUACAAUGCAUCAAAUGUUUGCUGGUUUUGACCCCACAGCUGGUUUAGAUUCAUUUUAAAAACUAGAAAAAACUUCAAAAACCCUCCUGUGAUUUCACACUUUUUUAUUUUAGUAUCCUGUGGUUUAAAGUGCAUCAAGUUAGUACCAUGUGGUUUCUCACUUUAUCACUUUAGUAUCCUAUGCUUUAAAGUGUAUCAAGUUAGUACCAUGUGGUUUUGCACUUUAUCACUUUAGUACCCUGUGGUUUCACAAUUUAUCACUAUAAUACCCUGUGAUUUAAAAAACCACAGGGUACUAACUGAAGAAACAAAUGGCAACUAAGAGGAGGGGUGAAUUAGUUGACAACUAAAAACUCAAGUAAAAUUAAAUCUAGAUAAAAAUUGCACAAUCAAAUAAAAGAAGAAAAUCAAACUCAGAUAACAUAGAUGAUUUAUCCUGGUUCGGCCCUUCUGCCUACUCUAGUCCGGUCCUUCUUCUCCUCGAGGUACCGAUUUCACUAUCACUUGGCCUUUUGAACAGGGCAAGACCAAAGCCGCUUACAAUCACACAAAACUUCUUUUACAAUCUCUCAAGAAGCUCACAAUUACAAAUCGAUGAACAAUUAGGAUUUAGAGAAUUUUUCUGAAGUUGCAUCACAAACAACAUUUAAGCCCCCUUUUAAAUACACUAGCCAUCAUUUCAAAAAUGGAACAAAAGCAUAAUUAAAUUAUAAUUGAUUUCAAUUUGAAUUUUAACCAUAUUUACAAAUGCAUUUGAAUUAAUUCCAAUAUAAAUUCGAAUUCAUACCACAUUUGCAAAAUAUUUGAAAUAUUACUAUAUUGAAAAGCUCAUUUGAAAUUAUACUAAAUUUAUAAAAUCCUUUUAAAUUAAUACUACAAAUGAAAAAAAUUUUGAAUUCAUUCCAUAUUUGUAAAAGCUUUUAAAAUAAUACAAUACUUAUAAAACUCAUUUAUAUCAUAUUUCAUAUUUUUUAAAUUCAUACUAUAUUAAAAUCAAAUUUGAAUUUAUACCAUACAUAAAAUUAUUUUCAUACCAUAUUAAAAUAAUGGCUAAUUUGACAUUAAGCUCAAAUCAAACCCAAAAGAUGAAUUGGUCAACUUGACUAGGUUGACCGGCUCAAAUCCGAUAAAUUGUAAAGAAGUCCUCCAAAUUUUUGUUGUGGCACUUGCAUCCAAUUUGGUACAAUUUGAUUUUGUCCGGGCCAAUUUGAAUAAUUUGAUUGAAUGGUUACCUUUGAUCAAUUCCGAUUUAGCUUGAGUCACUUUAAAUUCAACAAUAACUUGAAAUUGCUAAAUGACAAAUUAAAUUCAAUAUUUGUUUGUUAUCAUCAAAAUUUAUUAUUGGAUAAAAUCCAACACUAACUUGAUACAAAAUUAAAACCACAUGGUAUUAAAGUGAUAAAGUGCAAAACCAUAGGGUACAAAUUUGAUACACUUUAAUGUACAGGGUACUAAAGUGAUAAAGUGAGAAACCACAUGGUACUAACUUGGUACAUUUUAAAUCAUACGGUACUAAAGUGAAAAAAAUUGAAACCACAAGGGGAGUUUUUGAAGUUUUCCCUAAAAACUAGGCUAAAUUAUAGAAAACCCUCCUGUAAUACCCCGCUUUUUCACUUUCCCCCUGACAUUUAAAAACCUUCACUUUGCCCCCUUGUAAAAUGAAAAAUGUUCACACGGGAGUUACGGUGUGUAAAAUGACCAUUUUGCCCCUCGCCAUUUUCGUCUUUUUCCUCAUCUUCAUCAGCCGCCUCUUCGAUCGGUCGCGAUUCCCACCUCAAUCCGCCGCGAUUUCUCUCCACUUCCUUCUCUACCUGCUCCCCUUCUCCUCCUGUACCCUCGCCGCCCCUCGAUUUCAACGAUAAUAGGGAGGAAAUCGAGGUGGGUGUUGAUGGAGAGGUAGGCAAGGGCAACAAGAGCGAAAGCGAGGCGGCGGAGAAGGACGAAGGGGAUGUGGGCGAGGACGAAGCAGUGGAGGACGGCGAGGCGGUGAGCCGGAGGGAGGCGAAGCAACAAGGAAGAGGACGGAAGGAUAUUUUCGGCAUAAAAAAAAUAUUUUAUAACGGAACCCUAACGGUAGGAGAUGAAGUGCACAUUUUCAUUUUAUAAAGAGACAAAGUGUAGGUUUUUAAAUAUCAGGGAGGGAAAGUGCAAAAGUGAGUUAUUAUAGGGGAUUUUCUAUAAUUUAGCCUAAAAACUAAGUCCUAAAUUAACGACUUUUCAUUCGACCAGCUAUGAAUGUAAACAAAAUCCUAAAUUAACGACUUUUUGUUCGACCAGCUAUGAAUGUAAACAAAGGAGGUUUUGUACGUAAGAUUUUGCAGAGAAACACAAGCCUUUUCGUCAGCAAAAUACAGCUGUUUAGAGAUGAUUAAUAAUAAUUUUUCGAAAAGAACUUGAUUGUUCACAAGAUUACUCCCAAAAAUUAAUACGGCAGAAACUUAUCCUUUGAUUACGUCAAAAUUAUUUCUGAAUAUCUUUCUGCAUAAUAUGGUACCAAAAAAGACAUUCGAUCUCCACAUACCAAGACAUUUUGGAUUUAGUUCUCACUUAAGUCAUCUAUUUAGUGUGAAUACUGGUCGGUGGACUCGAAUAUAUAAGAGAAAAUGAUAUUCUCUAAUUUGGCAAGAGAAGAAUAAACCAAGAAAAAGAAAGAUAUUCACACAUAAAACUAAGAAAAGAAAUCAAAUUUCUCCUCUUUCUUAAAAUCUGCAACAACAGUAAACAUUUUCCUUCUCUUGGAAUCUUCUUCCUUUCUCUCUUUUGUUUUCCCUCUCAAUCUCUUUCAAAACUGUCCCCAUAUUUGAAACGGAGAACAGGUGGGGAAAAUUCAAAACUGCCCGCAAAUUUAAAAACGACAUCGUUAAGGUGGGAGCUGUUGUUCCCACCCUAGGUGAGACAAGCUUGUUCCUAGAACAAGGUUGUCGAACAAACUUGUGGGGGUGGAGAGGGAGAAGAGAGAGAAUUUUAAAUUUAUUACAAAAUUUAUAAUUUAUAAUUUCAAAAAUAAAAUUUAUAAUUUUUUAAAUUUUAAAUUUGAUAUUUGAUAUUUUUAAAUUUAAAUUCGAUCUUAAAUUUAAAAAUUUAAAAAAUAAAAAAAUGAAUUUAAAAAUUUAUAAUUUUAUAUUCUAAAUUUUAUAUUUUAAAUUUAAAAGUUAACAUUUUAAAUUUAAAACUUUAAAUAUGAUAUUUAAAAAUUCAAGUUCAAAUUUAAUGAGAGGAAUAAUAUCAUUAUUUUUUAUUUAUAAUUACUCAUUAUUCUUCUUAUUUUAUCUUUAUCUAUCAAAACGUUACUUUUUUUAUUUCCGGAAACAACUCAAUUUUCAUUCAAACGUAAAAUUAGUUUAAUCUUUACUUAUACUUAAACUUGUACCUAUUUUUGAAAAAAGUCAUUCUUACUUAUAUCCGAACCAAAUGAAGCCUUAUGGAUCCAAUAACCUGCUAAGUUUGUUAAAAAUCGGAACGACGAAAAAUAGAUCCAAAAAAUAAUUUAAUGCAAGAAAAGAAAAGUAAGGAAAGAACACACUGAUAAUUACGUGGUUCGGCCAACGGCCUAUGUCCACGGACGAAGACGGAACAAAUACUUUAUUAAUGUCGAAAAGACGGAGUACAAAAAAAUCUCUCAAAAGACCAAAACUUAAUUAGAUUCGAAACACCGCAACAAGCAACUCCAAAGUGGCUCGGCUUAAUUAACACCACGGCUCCUCAUUACCGUACGGACCACCAAGCUUGGUCAACUCUCUGGAACAUGCGGUUUAAUUAGCAUGGCUUCUAAUGCACAACAUUGCCUUCAUUAAUUAGAUCCCAACAGAGGCUCUCACACCGCGCGCCACCGCAACAUGACCACCCUUAAUUUAAUUAAUUUUCAUGGCCCUUAAUUUGAGUCGCGGCUGGAUUAAUUUGGCCGUAGCAUGUAUUUAUAAUACAUGUCUCCUAAAUAGAGUCUAAUCCUAAUUCAAUUAGAAAUUAGAUUCCGACUCAUAAUCCAUAUAUGCCAAAUUAAAUCUAAAUUAUAUCCAAUCCCAAUUAGAUUAGGAUUUAAUUCCAAUUUAGAUAACUACAAAUCUAAACCAAAUAUAACAAAGUUGCUAAAAAGUUUUAUAUUGCAAGUUGCCACUACAAACUUACUCCCAUCCACCACACUUUAGAAAUCUACAGAAAUAGUGAAAAUUUUGGUAAAAUAUAUAGCAAUUGUAGAGAUAGAAGAGUUUCAACUCUUGGGGAAAAAAAAAAAAAUCUAACUAAGCAUGCUAAUGCAGGUGAUAAUCUAAUUGGUGCAGAAUUGAUCAUCGUGCCCAGCACAAUUGGGUAGCUAAGAACUGGAUAGUUGGUAUUUGAGAUCCAAGUUCGACGCCUAAUAGUUUUUCAUUUCUAGGUGAGUUCAUUUCUAAGGAAUGAACGAAACGAAUAGCAUAAUAUUUUUCUCUCCAAAUAUAUCUAUAUAAUAAUUACUGUAGAAAUAUAUGGUUGUGUGUUUGCUCUCGCAAGAUGAUUGAAAAUAUAUGUUUUACCUUCUAUGGAUUGCUUGGAGAGUGCUUCUUGGGGCUGGAUCUAUAAGCAGUUUCAAUAAGGGAGGAAAAGAAAAUGCCGAUCGAGGAGAUCAUUUGAUCAAAUAUGAGAGAAAUAGUAAAUAAUAUUGUCAUAGAUACACAAACAAAAGCGGGACUAUUUAAUUGUACACCGAAAAGUCCAUAUAAAUCUUAUAUUUUUAUUAUCAAAAGGCUAAUUUUUUUAGGCCUUUUUGCAUAAAAAAUUCACUUAUUUUGGGCUUUUGCAAAAUCGGGUCACUUUUUUCGUUUUUGCAGAUUCGGUCCGUUUUUUCAGUAAACUGACCAAAAUACCCUUAUUACUUUUUCUCUUUCCUCUUUCUCUCUCCUCUUUCUCUUUCCUCCUCAAGCCCCUCCUCACCUCCCCGUCGCCCUCCUCAAGCCCGCCGCAAAGCUCCACGUCCUCCUCCUCCGCCUCCACAAGCCGAACCCGCCGCUGCGUCGUCACCAAAGUUGCAGGGGCGGAGCAAGCUCCUCGUCAAGCUCAAGGUCGAGGAGUCCCCGAUCGUUUCCCUCUUCACGCGAAGCUCCGCCACCGAGCCCAUCCUCCUCUCCCCCGCCGCCGCCGCCGAGCCCACUCCCACCGUCAUCUCCGUCGCCGUCGCCGUCGCCGAGCCCACGUCCCGCCCCUUGCCGACCGCCUCGUCACCCUCGAAUCGCCUCGUCACUCCCCUUGCUGAGCCCUCGUCACCUCCACCGUCGUCUCCGUCGCCGUCGCCGUCACCGUCGUCUCCGUUGCCGUCGCCAAGCCCACGCCCCAUUAAUGGUGUAAUGAUGCACCAUUGCACCAUUACACCAUUAAUGGUGCACCAUUACACUAUUAAUGGUGUAAUGGUGCAAUGGUGCACCAUUACACUAAUGGUGCACCAUUGCACCAUUACACCAAUGCACCAUUACAUCAUUAUUGGUGUAAUGGUGCAAUGGUGCACUAUUACACUAAUGGUGCACCAUUACACCAUUACACUAUGAAAUUACACCAUUAAUGGUGUAAUGGUGCACCAUUACAGUAUGAAGAAGAAGAAGAAGUAGCCGCAGCGCGUCCGCGUGCCCGCCCGCCGCCGCUGCGUGCACCGGCCCCGCCGCCGACCCGGCCCCGCACCGCGGCUGCGCGCCCCGCGCCAGGAGCAGCCCGCGAUCAGCGCCUCCCCCGCCGCCGCCCGACGCCUCAAGCGCGUCGUCGGCCCGCGGCCCGGGGCUCGACGUCGGCGCCGAAACUCCAGCACAGCGACAAGGUCCGCCGGCCUUGCGCAAUGGCCGGUGCAGCAGCCAACGCCGGACGCGUCGACGGCGUCGCCGGCGCCAAAUCCGGGUCGCUCCCUCUAGCUGCCGCGACGAACUCUCGCAGCCUCUUCCUCCGCCGCGCCGCCGAUAGCCGACGACGACCCGUGCGGCGGACCGAGGGGCUCGCGCGACGGAGACGACGUGACGGUGGCCAUGGGCCGCCGCCGCAUGGCCGUGGGCUCGGCGAUGCGACGAAGACGACGGUGAGGGUGGGCUGGCGGGCGGCGCGGGGAGAGGAGAGGGGUCGCAGGCGGUGGAGGAGGAGGUGAGGAGGGAGCAACGUGAGAAGGAGGGUGAGGAGGGAGGCGACGGUCGAUCCGCCUCCGCUCUACCGGCGAGAAAAAAAAAAAGAACGACAGAAACGAAGAGGAGAGAGAAAGAGGAAAGAGAAAAAGUAAUAAGGGUAUUUUGGUCAGUUUGCUGAAAAAGCGGACCGAAUCUGCAAAAAUGAAAAAGGUGGCCCGGUUUUGCAAAAGUCCAAAAUAAGUGGAUUUUUUAUGCAAAUUGGCCAUUUUUUUUAUAAUAAUCUUAUAAUUCUCUAUUUUAUUAAUACUAAGAAUCUAGGCGCCUAUUUACGGAGAGGGAGAGGAAGUUGCAAUGGAAUAAUUUACUUAGAACGUUAUAUUAUUUUAGAAGGAGACCAUUGAACGAAGGGAGAACUUUCAAACCUGCUUCCCAAUGGUAGAAGAGCGUGUUGUCCACAAAGGAGUUUUUCAAAUGCGGACUGUACUACGAGCUUGGGGAUGGUAAGCUCAUCAACUUUUGGUCGGACAGAUGAUGUGGCAAAGUUUCUUUGAAGACGUAUUUUUCAGACAUAUACGAUAAGGUUGUUACAAAGCAAGCUUGUAUUAAGGAGUGUUUCUUGUCUAACGGAUGGAGAUGGCGAAAAAUUUUGAGAGAAGUUGGAACAUGGGCUCGGAAUAACCGAAUGAGACAAAGGGAAUUUAAGGAUAAGCUUGCUUCCUUUCGGAUGACAAAUAAACCUGAUGAAGUUCAGUGGAGAUGGAAUGCAGGAAAUACGUUCUCUGUUAAAUUGGUCUAUUUGGUGACUCGAAGGGGAGGUAUCCAGAUACCAUACUGAUUCACAUUUGGAAACUUAAAAUACCUAUAAAAGUAAAAAUUUUCUUAUGGCUAUCCCUUAAGAAAAAGAUCCCCACGACUGAUAAUCUACUGGAAAAGGGAUGGUUGGGUAAUCCUCUCUGUGUCCUCUGUGAUGAAGUUACGGAGACGGUGGACCACCUCCUUAUAGGAUGUGUGUACACUAGGUUUAUGCUUUUUCGAACCUUGGAGGACAUCCAGUGUUUACAGACUAUGAGGACGUAUUGACGAUCUGGAUUAAAAUGACCAGAAAUAUUAGGUCAAGGGAGAUUCUGUAGGGUCUGAUUACCGCAGUAGCAUGCUGGUGGUUAAUCUGGAAGGAAAGAAAUAACGCGAUUUUUAAAAACCACUUUGCUGACCCUCUCUUCGUAGUCGAGCAUAUCAAGGAGUUAGUAAGAGAGUGGAGGGACUUUUGUUGAGCUGAAUAAUCUGUCGAUUACUUUUGUUGUUAUUUCUCAUUUCUUUUUCUUCUUUCUUUGAGCUAUAUUUUUCUUCUCGAGGCCAUGUUGCCUCACUGUUUGUAGCCAAGUUCAUUGUCGAAAUGAAUGAAGCGGAUAACGUGCUACCUUUUUCUCAAAAAAAAAAAAAAAAAAAAAAAANAAAAACCGGAGCUUGUAUGAACUCUUAGAUGCUGAGUAAAAAAUUCACGCUCGUCAAAAUUGAUUUUACAAGUCUUUUUCUACAAAGAAAAAUGGCUUUUUGAGAACAAUCGUCCAUCUAAGGCUAGUCAUCUGAAUUGUAGUGAUUUUAAAAAGUUUUAAAACGUGAUCUACAUCACUUAAAUUUUUCAUUAUAUCAUGACUGGCCUACAACACUUAAACUUUUCAUUAAAUACGUUUAAUCUCUUAAUUAUGUCAUGUAUCAUGUUUCAUCUCUAUGUACUUCAUCUCUGACCAUCAAAAAAAGCAUUAAAAAAAAAUUCAAAAAGUCCAAGUUUGAUCGUUAUGUACUAAUAUAUACGUAAUUCAUCCACCUUCCUUGCAAUUGUUCAUUGUCAAUAAUCAAACCAUAUUACAAAAGAAGUUGAAUAAAAUUUAAAGGCUAUUUGAAUGUAUGUAGUUACAGCUCUAUUGUAAUUAUUAUCUACGCACAUGCAUGUCCAAAUACAAUUGAUUUAAUGUAUUUGAAUUCAACGAUUAUAGUUAAAAUCGUAUAAGAAAGCUCAAUUGCAUGCAGCAGUUUAAGUUACGUGUUGCACAAGUUGGAGAGAGUAAUCUUGAAAAAAAAAAAUAAAAAAAAAACUUACGGGCUUAAUCAUCUUUCAAAAUAAAAAAAGAAAUUAGUUUUCUUCAUUAUUCAGAAUGACCUUGUCAUUCCAUAUAUAAAUUAAUAAAAUUUGAAAAUAUACUUCCCAAUUUAUACAACCAAACAAAUUAUUAUUGCUGCAGUGAUUUUUUACUGUAUCCAACCAAAUAAAAUUAUGUAGUUGUAAAUGCUACAUAUUUUGCUGCAUAUAUUUCCAAAUGUGUUGCAUUUACAAUUUGCAUAUUCUGAUUCUACACAACUUAUAAAGCUGAUAUUGGAAAGACCCCUCGAUUAAUUAAGAUAAAAAUGUAUAGAAUAUCCGAACAUCUUCUUAAUUUUAUCAUCUAACUUUUCAAUUUGUUUGAUUUGAGUCAGUCAACAGUAUUUUAACUGGUAAUUUUGAGUGCGUAGUUUAUCUUCACAGAUUUAGUUAAUAUAUUUUAUAUAAUUAUUAUAAAGAGCUUAAAUUCUAAAGUUUGGAAUUAAAAUUUUAGAUCAGUAAAAUUAAAAUUUUGAAAGAUUAAGUGGUUAAUUCAAAACAGUUUGUAGUUCACAAAUGAAUUUUGCACUAUUUUACUAUUAAUUAAUUAAUCAGGUUGGGUCAAGCUAGGGUCGCAUCGAACCUACCCCGAAGUUGCGACCCCGCCCCCAAAACCCAGCCGUCCAAAAAGGCCCCCGCCACCCACGUCACCCCAAGCCGUUUAACUUAAAAAAGAAAUCCGAUCCCCUCGCACGAGUCACAAAAAAAGAAGAGAAGAAAAAAACAAAGAACCUUCUUAGACGCCAUGAAACUGUACGCAAAACGGCGACGAAAAUAACUCCCCCCAAUCAGAGCGUGCUUAAUACUUUAUACUGGGUGAGUAAUCGGGGUAGUUAUUGGAGCCGCGGUCCACUGGUAAGUGAUGAGUCAGCAUUAAUGUUUUUCGCUUUUCCGCCCUUCCUCCGAAACGCGCCCACAAACCGCGUCCACACGUUCUUCAGAGUCGCCGCCCCCUGCUUCCACCAACCCAUAACAUAUAUAUAGCACCAUCCCCUGCCACCACCCCCCCCCCGCCUCUCCCUCUAUUGUGCUUAAGAUAACAACAACAACAACAACAACAACAACAACAACUGCGCUAGCUCUCUCUCUCUCUCUCUCUCUCUCUCUCUCUCUCUCCAUAGUCC
rnacentral:lncRNA from 1 species